UGGGGAAUAUUGCGGCAAUGGGCGAAAGCCUGACGCAGCGACGCCGCGUGAGGGAUGAAGGUCUUCGGAUCGUAAACCUCUGUCAGAAGGGAAAAAUGUACAGUGCUCCAAUCAACACUGUAUUGAUGGUACCUUCAGAGGAAGCACCGGCUAACUCCGUGCCAGCAGCCGCGGUAAUGCGGAGGGUGCAAGCGUUAAUCGGAAUUACUGGGCGUAAAGCGCGCGUAGGUUGUUUUGUAAGUCAGAGGUGUAAUCCCACGGCUUAACCGUGGAACUGCCUUUGAUACUGCAUAACUUGGAUCCGGGAGAGGACAGCGGAAUUCCAGGUGUAGGAGUGAAAUCCGUAGAUAU
rnacentral:rRNA from 1 species